rnacentral:rRNA from 1 species
GAUGAACGCUAGCGACAGGCUUAACACAUGCAAGUCGAGGGGCAGCAUAAAAGUAGCAAUACUUUGGUGGCGACCGGCGCACGGGUGAGUAACGCGUAUGCAACCUACCUAUCAGAGGGGAAUAACCCGGCGAAAGUCGGACUAAUACCGCAUAAAACAGGGGCACCGCAUGGUGAUAUUUGUUAAAGAAAUUCGCUGAUAGAUGGGCAUGCGUUCCAUUAGGUAGUUGGUGAGGUAACGGGUCACCAAGCCGACGAUGGAUAGGGGAACUGAGAGGUUGGUCCCCCGCACUGGUACGGAGACACGGACCAGGCUGCUAGGGGAGGCAGCAGUGAGGAAUAUGGGUCAAGGGGCGAGAGCCUGAACCAGCCAAGUCGCGUGAAGGAAGAAGGAUCUAUGGUUCGUAAACUUCUUUUGCAGGGGAAUAAAGUGCGGGACGUGUCCUGUUUUGUAUGUACCCUGAGAAUAAGGAUCGGCUAACUCCGUGCCAGCCGCCGCCGUAA